AGCUCGUAUAGAUCAAUUGGCAGAUCGUCGCUCUUAUAUUAGUCUCCCGAAAGGGAACUCAUAUGGCGAAGGUUGAGGGUUCGACCCCCCCUAUGAGCAU
rnacentral:tRNA from 1 species